ensembl:lncRNA
AUGAGAUACUGCUGGUAACUGUUUAUCUUGCUGCUAAAACCUGCACAAAGGCGAACUUUUUCUUUCAUAUUAUUGGCCAUUUUCUGAAGUGAAGUGAAAUACUGGAUUUUCAGCCCAUCCAUAAAUUUUCAGCUGCUGCCGUGCCUAUACUGAGACAAGCUUCCUGCCCUGCAAGCCUUGGUUGCAUUGUAUAGUAUUAUGCAAAUCUCUGUUGCUCUGGCUGAUUCAUCUAAAGUACAAAAGACUGGGCCAAGAGGUAACAGCAAGGAAUUGGCAGAUGUUCAAUAAAUCACCUUUUCUUUAUGAAAUUCCUUAUGAUUUUUCUUAUCACAGCAGAUUACUUAAGGCUUUCUGCAAUUCUAAUGGGAAAAAAAAAGACAACUGUUAUUAAAGACAUUGAC